rnacentral:rRNA from 1 species
CCUACGGGUGGCAGCAGUGGGGAAUAUUGCACAAUGGGCGAAAGCCUGAUGCAGCGACGCCGCGUGAGGGAUGAAGGCCUUCGGGUUGUAAACCUCUUUCAGCAGGGACGAAGCGCAAGUGACGGUACCUGCAGAAGAAGCACCGGCUAACUACGUGCCAGCAGCCGCGGUAAUACGUAGGGUGCGAGCGUUGUCCGGAAUUAUUGGGCGUAAAGAGCUUGUAGGCGGUUUGUCGCGUCUGCUGUGAAAAUCCGGGGCUCAACCCCGGACUUGCAGUGGGUACGGGCAGACUAGAGUGUGGUAGGGGAGACUGGAAUUCCUGGUGUAGCGGUGAAAUGCGCAGAUAUCAGGAGGAACACCGGUGGCGAAGGCGGGUCUCUGGGCCACUACUGACGCUGAGAAGCGAAAGCGUGGGGAGCGAACAGGAUUAGAUACCCUUGUAGUC